ensembl:snRNA U5 U5 spliceosomal RNA
AUACUCUGGUUUCUCUUCGGAUCGCAUAAAUCUUUCGCCUUUUACUAAAGAUUUCUGUGGAGGAAUGUAUCUGUCUUCUGGACAAGAACUUUGCGUGUAGGCUGUCCAGAGCUGGC